GGUGGCUCAGUGGUAGAGUGCUUGCCUCGCAUGCAUGAGGCUCUGGGUUCGAAUCCUCAGCACCA
rnacentral:tRNA from 1 species